rnacentral:rRNA from 1 species
UACAGAGGUCUCAAGCGUUGUUCGGAUUCAUUGGGCGUAAAGGGUGCGUAGGCGGCGCGGUAAGUCGGGUGUGAAAUCUUGGAGCUUAACUCCGAAACUGCAUUCGAUACUGCCGUGCUUGAGGACUGGAGAGGAGACUGGAAUUUACGGUGUAGCGGUGAAAAUGCGUAGAUAUCGUAAGGAAGACCAGUGGCGAAGGCGGGGUCUCUGGACAUUCCUUGAC